CUCUUACAACCAAGUAAAACCACGAAUCAUACAGGGUGGCCUAAAAAUUUCUAGGUGACUUUAAAAAUCAAUUACUUUUUUUCGAAAUUUCUUUCCUUUUCUAUUUCUUUUCUUUUUCAGAUUAUAAAAUUACAAGUCUAGGAAUCUGGAACUUUGACAUAUCCGGUAACAAAAAAGUAACGAAACACUUCAACAAUAAGAAUGAACAAUAAAGGAAAAUACAAUGAUAGAAUAUAAAACAUAAGACAUGCAGGACUUCUUUCUUAAAAUGCUGAUAUCGAACUUACCAAGCAAUUUUGAUCGAAAUCGAGAUUAACAAUAAGUGAAAGUUAAAAAGGCUGAGAGUUAUAAUACGCAAGGUCACGUGAUACCUACGCAUGUAAUAUGCAAUCGACAAAGCAAAGAAAUUCUAUAUAUAAUAUCGAAGCUAGAAAAACAAAAUAAUGAAAAAUAGGAUAAAAGUGAUAUAGAGGAAGCGAUAUAAAUAACUAAGAAUAAGACCUCGCCAUACCUUGUUAAAGCACUGGGUAAUUCUACCUUGACAGGUAACCUUAACUUAUGCAUUUUACGCAUACGUAUAUCUGCACAUUAUAACAUUUUAGUUCUCAUUAUUCGAUACGUGCUAAUAAAAUGUGUGCGAAACAUAAGUACGAUAGAACGAUGAGAGAAAAAACAUAACCAAAAAAAAAAGAGAAUAGACUCUGUAAAGAACACACGAUGAUGUCACGGUAAAGAAAUGUACGAACAAGCACAUUACCAAACAACACUAACCAACUAUAUACACGAAGGAGGGGAGGAAGUGUUCAAAAGAAUUAUUUUACAUGGACACUGAGACGAUAUACGACUCUUCCGUCGAUCGCGAUCUUCGAAGACUGCUGCAAAACUAGAUCUACGGCGCAAACUCAUAACACGAUCGGCUCUGUCAUUUCGACGACCGGUUUUGUUGAACGUUUUUACUCGCAACAACCACCACGUCACGCGCACUAUCCACACUCAUGACUCGUACGACGUGCACUGUCUCCUCUUCGAACGAACUGACUGUUCGUCGACGACGUAACUCCCUCGAGGAAACCUUCUGCCACGUUCGCAUUGCGUCUGGUUGCAACGGAACUCCAGCAACUUUGUUAAAAGGGGUGGCGAAGCUUUCACAGAAUUCCUACUGUGAAG